GGAGCUGAUAUGAUGAGAUCAAAAGACAAUCUACGCAUGUAGAGGCUUAUGCAAUACACUAUAAGGACCGGGGUUCGAUUCCCCGCACCUCCACCA
rnacentral:tmRNA from 1 species